CCCUUAGAUGUUCUGGGCUGCACGCGUGCUACACUGAUAUUGCCAAUAUGUCAUUCUUAUCCGAAAUGGAUUGGGUAAUCAAGUAAUGAAAUUUCAUGCUUGGAAUCGGUAAUUGCAAUUUUAUCGUGAACGAGGAAUUCCUAGUAAGCACUAGUCAUCAGCUAAUGUUGAUUAUGUCCCUGCCCUUUGUACACACCGCCCGUCGCUACUACUGAUUGGGUGUUCAAGUGAGAUUCUUAGACCCUUGUUGCAUGGUUCAUUAUUGUGCUCCGAAAGGAAAAAGUUUCAAGCUUGAGUGUCUAGAGGAAGUAAAAGUCGUAACA
rnacentral:rRNA from 1 species